GUUAAAUGUUUCAUUGAUUAAAUAAUUAUUAAUAUUUGAUUCUUACUUGUUUUGAUCUGGAUCAAUCUCUCUGCUUUGGCCCUGAAGUGUUUUGAGUGAUAGGCUUAAUUGGAGGAGAUUCGUAGUCUUCGUUACUAAUUUGGACUCAACUGCAACCAUCUAAUCUGAAACAAUUCAGGUAAAUAUGUACAACUUUUUCAAUUAGCAUUUUGUUAAGAAUAUUAUUUUUGGCUUCUUCGAUGUUAUUUUUUCCCCUAAGAGAGAGUCCUAUAAGCUUGCGUGAUACCAUUUGUUAUAUGUUUAACUUGUAUUUAUAGGUAUUUUACCAUUGAAAUCAAAAAUUUUAUUUAUUUUUUAAACAGAUUCCGACAUCCGGCAAAUCCAACCCUUUAGGUAAAAAUAAGAGAGAGAAGACGCAUGAUCCAUUUUCCAUAAACGAAUUCUUUCAAAUCCUUGUAUCGAGUAUUCACAACAGUUAGUAUAUAUAUAUAUAUAUAUAUAUAUAUAUAUAUUUUUUUUUUUAAUGUAUCAAAAUCUAUCAUGCUCGGUCAAUUGAACCAAUAAAAUAGUCGAACACAUGCAUUUCAACCUUGAAUAUCCACUAUUUAAAACCUGUUAUAAAAUCAGUGAAUCUUCAAUCGGAACUUGAUUGCUAUGGUUUCAGAUUUUUCAAGGUCAAUCUUAACUCAAAAAUAAAGCGCCUGUUUCGUUUGCAUUUCAAUUUUCAAUUUUCAGUUUUCAGUUUUCUAUUUUAAUGUUUCGGUUUAAAUUGUUGAAAACACUUUUGAUUUGUCAUACAUGUACAUUAUAAAAUUGAUAAGUCUUUCAAUGCUUAUUUUUUGCUACAGAAGUAAAAGAAAACUAACUAAUAAAUUAAGUUGUCAGAAUAUAGAAAAUAAAAAAAAAUGAAAUUAAU
rnacentral:lncRNA from 1 species